rnacentral:rRNA from 1 species
UACGAAGGGGGCUAGCGUUGCUCGGAAUUACUGGGCGUAAAGCGCACGUAGGCGGCUUUCUAAGUCGGGGGUGAAAUCCUGGAGCUCAACUCCAGAACUGCCUUCGAUACUGGAGAGCUCGAGUCCGGGAGAGGUGAGUGGAACUGCGAGUGUAGAGGUGAAAUUCGUAGAUAUUCGCAAGAACACCAGUAGGCGAAGGCGGCUCACUGGCCCGGUACUGACGCUGAGGUGCGAAAGCGUGGGGAGCAAACAGG